AUGGCUUUCCACCAAAGAUCGAUAAGUUUGCCUUCUAGGCCUCACGUCAGUGAGACCCAAGUCGAGCAAGAGCUUCACAGCCUAGAAGCAAGCAUCUCUUCCUCCAAUUCCAUCAGCAUGAUGUGCGAUGGUCUCAGGAAUCUUGCAAACAUCUACGAUGGUCUUGAAGAGAUUAUUUGCCUACCAAGCCACCAUGUUUUCUCCUCCCAGCAGAGGAACAUGUUGGAUGGAGAAAUGGAAGGUUCUCUUGAGCUGCUAGAUCUCUGCAGCGUCAUGCAAGAGAUCUUCGCCGAGAUGAAGGCCAUCAUCCAAGAGCUGCAAGUGGCUCUAAGGAAAGGGGAUGAUGCAGCUACUCAAGCCAAGAUCCAGUCUUACACCCGCUUGGCGAAGAAGGCCAAGAAUCAUUUCAAGAAGACCGCGAAGAAGACUUCUGUAGAUUGCAGGAUGGUCAUGCUCUUGGCCAAGGCCAGGGAGAUCUCUGUCUCUCUGCUGGAGUCCACACUCCGUCUCUUGUCGAAGCAAAUUGAAAUGCCUAAACAGUCUCUUGUUUUCAAGGCAUUUCACAAAAAGAAGUCAGUUUUCUGCAAGGAAGAGCAAUUGUCAGAGUUAGAGUGCAGUAUCGUACAUCUUGAGAUCGGAGCAGGACAUCUGUUCAGGAAGUUAGUCCAGAGCAGAGUUUCUCUACUCAACAUCCUUAGCUCAUAG
rnacentral:rRNA from 1 species